AACGUAGGACACGAGCGUUAUCCGGAGUUACUGGGCGUAAAGGGCGGGUAGGUGGUGCGAUAAGACUGGUGUGAAAGCCUUCGGCUUAACCGAGGGAGGACACUGGUGACUGUCGGACUUGAGGCAGAUAGAGGGGUGUAGAAUUCCGGGUGUAGUGGUGAAAUGCGUAGAGAUCCGGAAGAACACCCGUGGCGAAGGCGGCUCGCUGGACGAUGACUGACACUCAACUGCGAAAGCGUGGGGAGCAAACAGG
rnacentral:rRNA from 1 species